AACGAACGCUGGCGGCAUGCCUAACACAUGCAAGUCGAACGAGACCUUCGGGUCUAGUGGCGCACGGGUGCGUAACGCGUGGGAACCUGCCCUUAGGUUCGGAAUAACUCCCCGAAAGGGGUGCUAAUACCGGAUAAUGUCUUCGGACCAAAGAUUUAUCGCCUUUGGAUGGGCCCGCGUUGGAUUAGCUAGUUGGUAGGGUAAAAGCCUACCAAGGCGACGAUCCAUAGCUGGUCUGAGAGGAUGAUCAGCUACACUGGGACUGAGACACGGCCCAGACUCCUACGGGAGGCAGCAGUGGGGAAUAUUGGACAAUGGGCGAAAGCCUGAUCCAGCAAUGACGCGUGAGUGAUGAAGGCCUUAGGGUUGUAAAGCUCUUUUACCCGGGAUGAUAAUGACAGUACCGGGAGAAUAAGCUCCGGCUAACUCCGUG
rnacentral:rRNA from 1 species